ACGUUACACACAUCCACUUUUACCACAAAUCUAAUAUACCCCAAUACUCAUUUUGAGUAUCGGGUAUAAAAAGCGGACCAGUAAAUCUAACGAAACCCAUAUCAAUGUGAAAAGGAGUUGUGCAACAGUUAACCUUGUCAUCGUUUAGAAAUGCUUCUUAGCAUGAAGUGGGAGAGACCAUGAAAAUCCUAUUCGUUCCAGGUAAAAAUAAACUGUAUAAAUAGGGUGCUCUAAACGGGAACUUGUCAUUCGUAUUCAGCGAUCACUAAAACCAUAAUGAAGCUCUACCUUGGAAUCCUUCUGGCCGUUGUCUUGCCGCUCCUUGUGGCUGGACACCCCUCCAAGUCCCCGAAGGGUGAUUCGCCAACAGGAGCACCCUAAGCGGAUGUUCCACUUUCGCCUUCACAAAGCCGUUGUGGACUUGCCUUAAUCUUGCAGAUGAUUUUAGUUGAUCAAUAAAUCAGGCUUUUACAUUA